GGCGUGAACACUCAUCUGCGAGGUUCCUGUGACAUGGGACGCCAAACAUGAGAAAUCACCAUCUCCCAUGAAGCUUCUAUUCUGGUGGUGGCGACACGGAUGGGUGGUAAUUCCAGAGGGUGAUGGAAGGGAGGAAGAUGAGAUACGCAGACAAGAAAGACAUGGAGAAGACUUGAGACCACUGAUAAUCAAAGAGCCCUUUAGAAGCACUCAUACAAACAUACAAAUGGACAUCCCAACGUGGUCGAGAGGACAUGGAAAUGAGAUUUGAAGAAGCCAUACUUGAAAUGUUUUUCAUAUUUGUUGAAAAUGUGCAAGGUAAAAGAACAGGAAAUAUAACAGAAACAUCAGUGAGGUUACCAGUCAGGUCCUGAUGCAGUAAAAAUAUCUGAAAAGCCACCAAGAAUGAAGCUGUGCACACACAGAGCCGCAAAGGUGCUGGGGACAGCUGACUACAUCUCUUAAACUAUGGAAAUUAAAAGACAGUGGAACUGUGUGCUUGGAAGAAAACUCAUCCUAGACUUCUUCCCUCAGUAAAAUGCUUUCCAAAAUGAAGGCAAGAUCAAGACCUCCCCAGACACACAAGAUUGAAGGGCUAAUCACAAAGUAUGAUGGGAAAUGGCGGAGGGAGCCUUUAAAGGAAGGACCACAAUGCUGAUGAAGCUGUAUCGGCAUGAUCCCCAAGUGACACCUGUGCCUAUUGGUUUUUGUCAGCAUGACACAAACUAGAGACAUCUGAGCAGAAGAACCUCAAUUGAGAAAUUGCCUUCAUCAUGUUGGUCUGUGGGCACAUCUGUUGGGCACUGUCUUGACUGCUGACUGAUAUGGAAGGCCCAGCCCUCGGUGGGUGGUACUACCGCUGGGCCGGUGGUCCUGGUGUGUAUAAGGAAGCAGGUUGAGCAAACCCUCCAUGACUUCUGCUUUAGUUCCUGCCUCCAGGUUCCUGCCUUGAGUUCUCUCAGGGAUGAUCUAUGAUCUGUCAGAUAAACAAACACUUCCUUACACAAAUUGGUUUUAUCCAGGGUCUUAUCACUGCAACAAAAACUGUGUGUGUGAGUGUGUGUGUGUGUGUGUGCGCGCGCGCGCGCGUGCACGCGCAUGUGUGUGCACCAGCGCUCUUUAACCUGCACACAUGUGGAGGCCAAAGGUCAACCUUGGGAGUCAUCCCUUGAAUGGUACCCACUUUGCUGUUUUGAGAAAGAGUAUCUCACUGGCCUAGAAUUUGUUGGUUUGACUAGGCUGGCUGGCCAGUGAGUCCCGGGAUCCACCUGCCCUUGCUUCCUCAAUCUGGCAUCGCAAACACAUGCUACCACCACUUUUAUUAGUUAGUCAGCCUAUCUAUCUAUCUAUCUAUCUAUCUAUCUAUCUAUCUAUCUAUCUAUCUAUCUAUCUACCUACCUACCUACAGUUUCUGAGGAUAAAACUCAAGUUCUCAUGAUUUCAGGGCAAGCUGACUACGCCAUCUCCCUAGAUGCACUAUUUACAUCUCUUAAGGGCCCUUAGGUAUUUGAAUAAUAAUCUCGGUACCAUAUAAUAAAGCUUAUAAUGUCUGGGCAAAUAACACAUAUGCACUGGGGCCCACGUCGAGAGGAGAGGAACGGAAAUGCAUACUACUGUAGCUUGUAGUUUCUGCUACCAUGCUUUAAGCUCCGAGUAGACCAUGAUACCGGCCCCGCCCAGGUUCCCUCGGAUCCAAGGAUAAAAGACACGCACACACAUUAGCUUAUUUUAAUAUGCUUUCUGCUCGAUGGCUGGACACUUUGAAGCCUCUCGUGGCUGACUUGCCCUUAUCUUCACUCCCAGCUCAACACCUUUAAUUUUGUUCUUUACUUUGUUGCCUGGUUACCUUCUCCUUGUUCAGACCCCUAAGUCUGCCUUUGGCUUAUGUUUCUAAUCUGCCGACUGCUACCCUGGGCCCAUGCGGGGAAGUGGCCGAUGUCCACUCCACCCGAGAUCUCACAUGGCUGAUGGCUCUUUCUCCCUCCGAAGCAUGAUGAAUCUUUUCUUGUCUCUUGUGUCUGCUAGCCUACCUGCGGGAAACUGGAAGUCCUACCUACUCCACCCAACCAUUGGUCACUAGCAUCUUUAUUGAUUGAUCAAGAAUCAGUUGAGAAACAGGACCUCCAGCAUUCACAACGCAGACUUCUGAUCAGAGCAUCAGACCUACCCCCUACUUCUCACCUUUUCUGUGCAAUUAAAAAAACAAAACAAAACAAAAAAAAAAAAACAAACCUCUUCUCUCAGACAUAAAUCAAACAAGACCAUAACAAUCAUAUAAAUUACGAAGUAUGAUAUACAGUUAUCAUUCAGUCUAUCGUAUUUGUCAAUUAGAUAAAAGUACUCUACCAUCAUUCCUAAGUUAAAGACUCAUAAUUCUAUCUCUGAAUUGUGUUUAGAUUUUAGUCUGUGACACCAUCUGAAAACCAUGUCUUUUACUCUGUAACUUUUCUUUCCUCCUGCCUUUGAUCUCCAGACCCACACAGUGGAAGGAGAGAAACGGCUCCUUUAAGUUGUGCUUUGACCUCCCCAAAGAUAAUGUGGCACACGCAUACCUAGAAACACACACAUGCACGCACAUGUGCACGCACACACACACCAAACCAAAAAAAAUGAAUAAGUAAUAAAAUAAGUGUGAAAAACCACUGAAACAAAAGAAAAAAAUACAAGUAGUAAAAGAUUAAAUAGAAAAAUAAAAUAAAAUUAAUCACAGAAGGAAUAGAACAUUUGCUGGCUUCUGCCCUUCUUUCAGACUUUGUGCCCAUCUGUCCCGCUGUUCCUAAAUCCAGACUAAACAACCACAUCUUCCCCAGAUCUAUCAGUGCCCCUGUAUUCCAGCCCCACCCUCAGCACGUGACCUCUCUUUUUGUUGAGAUCCUGUCUCAGUCUUAAGACCAAGGUCAAGGGCAGGCCUCCCAGGAACCUGGUUUUGAUUCUCAGAUGAGAUGGGCUUCUUUGCUUCCAUGUUUUCUUGUGUUUAGGUAACUACUCUUGCUCAUUGUCAUUGGGAGUGAAACCUCUGACCUUCACCCUUGCUAAAACCUAUCUCUGGAAUCCUUUUAAGCCCCCUUACCUCUGAUUGGUCAGAAGUGAACCACUGAUGAAGCCACUGC
rnacentral:lncRNA from 1 species